UCUGGAGCACCAUAACCUCGGGAAACUGAGGCCAAUCCGGGAUACGAUUCCCAAGCUGGAACUGCUGGGAAUCCGAAAUGCUCCGGCGCCAUAGGAUGUGGCUGCGGCCGAUUAGGUAGACGGUGGGGUAACGGCCCACCGUGCCGAUAAUCGGUACGGGUUGUGAGAGCAAGAGCCCGGAGACGGUAUCUGAGACAAGAUACCGGGCCCUACGGGGCGCAGCAGGCGCGAAACCUUUACACUGCACGCCAGUGCGAUAAGGGGACUCCGAGUGCGAGGGCAUACAGUCCUCGCUUUUUGUAACCGUAGGAAGGUUACAGAAUAAGUGCUGGGCAAGACCGGUGCCAGCCGCCGCGGUAAUACCGGCAGCACGAGUGAUGACCGCUAUUAUUGGGCCUAAAGCGUCCGUAGCUGGCCGCGCAAGUCUAUCGGGAAAUCUGUGUGCCUAACACACAGGCGUCCGGUGGAAACUGCACGGCUUGGGACCGGAAGACCAGAGGGGUACGUCUGGGGUAGGAGUGAAAUCCCGUAAUCCUGGACGGACCACCGGUGGCGAAAGCGCCUCUGGAAGACGGAUCCGACGGUGAGGGACGAAAGCUCGGGUCACGAACCGGAUUAGAUACCCGGGUAGUCCGAGCUGUAAACGAUGUCUGCUAGGUGUGACGCAAACUACGAGUUUGCGUUGUGCCGUA
rnacentral:rRNA from 1 species